CUACGGGCCGCAGCAGUGAGGAAUUUUGCGCAAUGGGGGAAACCCUGACGCAGCAACGCCGCGUGAGCGAAGAAGGCCCUCGGGUCGUAAAGCUCUGUCAAGUGGGAAAAAAAUCUUUUGAUCAAUAGUCAAAAGACUUGAUGGUACCACUGGAGGAAGCACCGGCUAACUCCGUGCCAGCAGCCGCGGUAAUACGGAGGGUGCAAGCGUUGUUCGGAUUUACUGGGCGUAAAGAGCGUGUAGGCGGUUUAGCAAGUCAGAUGUGAAAGCCCUGGGCUCAACCCGGGAAGUGCAUUUGAAACUGCUUCAAUAGAGUAUGGGAGAGGAGAGUGGAAUUCCUGGUGUAGAGGUGAAAUUCGUAGAUAUCAGGAGGAACACCCGUGGCGAAGGCGAUUCUCUGGACCAAUACUGACGCUGAGACGCGAAAGCGUGGGGAGCAAACAGGAUUAGAUACCCGGGUAGUC
rnacentral:rRNA from 1 species